rnacentral:misc_RNA from 1 species
AAAAAAAAAAGAGAGGAGAUAUUAACACAUAAUAAUAUGCACACGUAUACAUGAAGGCAUCCCCCAAAAACAACGAAAUGCCCACCACCACAGAAAGAACUCCAAUCACUGGACACAGCUACUUCCCGAAGAGGAACAAUGACAUACCCACAAAUGAAAGGGAUUAAGGAUAACUUAAUGCAGCUUCACCAAGGAAAUAACAACAGAAUUCCACCAUCUCCUGAGGAACUAAGAAGACAGAAUAGAUUGCAAGGCAAGUUGCUGUUGUGGCUCCAAGGACGACCAGGUUGAUGCUAGGGUGGCAGGCGGUAACAUCUGCUGAAGCUGCCUC